rnacentral:rRNA from 1 species
UACGUAGGUGGCAAGCGUUGUCCGGAUUUACUGGGUGUAAAGGGCGUGUAGCCGGGUUGACAAGUCAGAUGUGAAAUCCUGCGGCUUAACCGCAGAACUGCAUUUGAAACUGAUGAUCUUGAGUGGGCGAGAAGUAUGCGGAAUGCGUGGUGUAGCGGUGAAAUGCAUAGAUAUCACGCAGAACUCCGAUUGCGAAGGCAGCAUACCGGCGCCCGACUGACGCUGAAGCACGAAAGCGUGGGUAUCGAACAGG